UCCCCAACGCCAAUCUCUCGCCACACCUUCCUUCCUCGCGGCGCUCCAUCCCUACGGCGCUGCCGCUGCAUGGUCAACACGCCGCCAUGCUAGGCCAUGCACCUAUCUCUCUUGCAGCCGCCCUCCUGACCUGCCGCCUCUCCCACACCAUCUCUGCCUAGCCGUCUCACUAGACGAAGAUGCAUACGAAGUCGAGACGCGUCCGGCUAAGGACCAUAUGCAGGUCAUUGUGCGGUACAGAAACUGUACUCUGAAUUUGUCACUACAGGUUGCAUGCAAUUUCUCACUGUUAGUUUCAGAUUUUUCCUAUUUUCUAUGUGUAUAUAGUAGAUGCUUCUAUUAAUCUGUGGCAUCUACAUUCAUCUUAUCUAAUUCAGUUAAAGUUUACAUUGAAAAUUUCCCAGAUCUCUUUUUAAUGCUGUACUUACCCAGAGCCUUUCUCUCCUGCUAGGCUAAUUUACAGAGUUUUACUGACCCGCAGUCGCUGUAUGUCUUUUCUUCAUUCAUUUGGUCAACUGAAUUUGUCAUCCAUAGUGUAAUUGCCUUUUGGGCUCCCCUUUGCACCAUCAGUUCUAACAAAAGAUUUUAUUCAAUAGUUAUUUGCGGACAAGAUUUUGAAGCUCAGUGAUGAAGUACACUUUCCCCAACAUGCCACUUUAGAGAAUAUAUAUCAACUUCUCUAAAUCUCGAAGUGCACAUGGGCGUUGCAUUUAUUUAUUUAGUUCCGUGUAGAGAUUCAAUCAUCUCAAUGGAGCCUUACAUGAUUUGCUCUUUUACUGAUGGACUGAGGAGGUCCGAGCUGUUUUCUGGUCUACCAUGUGGCAGCCUCUCUCACCAUGUCUGCACAUAGUGUUCAGGUUGGAGGUGAACAUGAACUCUGGCAAUACAAAAUACUCCUUGCGUCCCAAAAUUCUUGUCUUAAAUUUUCCUAGAUACAGAUGUAUCUUAUAUUAAAAUGUGACUUGAUACAUCCGUAUUUAGACAAAACUAAGACAAGAAUUCUGGGACGGAGGGAGUAGCAGAUAUAAAAUAACUGCAGCUCAGGCCAUUUAUUUCUACAACAACCAAGGAACAAGUCUGUUUUUUAAUGCGACCCUGGCCAAGCAAUUUAUGCUUAUAAGGGUGCUCUCUAUUUUUCAGAGGUGCGAGAGCGCCCAUAAUUCAGGGCAAAAAAGCUAGAUAAAGUGGAAAAUUUUGUAAGAGUGGUAUUUGAAGCUAGUGAUAGCAUGUUGAAGGAUGUUGAUUGUGGCUAUCCAACUUCAACAACGUGCUUGCAACUCAUGAGUGGCUAUCCAACUUCAAUAACAUUGUGGCUAUCUCAAUGUGAAUCCCACAGGCGGAGUUGUGGUCAAGUCCAACAAUUCAACUUCUGAAGAUAACAUGUAUUCCAAACCCAAGAGGGAACGAAUUACAACUACUUUUUUCAAUGUCUUAUUCAAAGUACGCAUCCUGUCAUGUUCACUCGGACGAUGACUGUACCUAUUAUAACUCCUUUUAAGAAAUUUGACAUCCUGCAUUCUUUACUA